CCUACGGGGGGCUGCAGUGGGGGAUAUUGCACAAUGGGCGCAAGCCUGAUGCAGCCAUGCCGCGUGUGUGAAGAAGGCCUUCGGGUUGUAAAGCACUUUCAGCGGGGAGGAAGGCGUUAAGGUUAAUAACCUUGUCGAUUGACGUUACCCGCAGAAGAAGCACCGGCUAACUCCGUGCCAGCAGCCGCGGUAAUACGGAGGGUGCAAGCGUUAAUCGGAAUUACUGGGCGUAAAGCGCACGCAGGCGGUCGGUCAAGUCGGAUGUGAAAUCCCCGGGCUCAACCUGGGAACUGCAUUCGAAACUGGCAGGCUAGAGUCUUGUAGAGGGGGGUAGGAUUCCAGGUGUAGCGGUGAAAUGCGUAGAGACCUGGAGGAAUACCGGUGGCGAAGGCGGCCCCCUGGACAAAGACUGACGCUCAGGUGCGAAAGCGUGGGGAGCAAACAGGAUUAGAUACCCUUGUAGUC
rnacentral:rRNA from 1 species